rnacentral:rRNA from 1 species
GACGAACGCUGGCGGCGUGCUUAACACAUGCAAGUCGAAGAUAGUGGCGCACGGGUGAGUAAUACGUGGGUAACCUGCCCUCCUUUUUGGGCUAAUCCUUGGAAACGGGGUCUAAUCACGAAUAAAUGGGGCUGGGCUCGCGGCCUGUCAGCUUGUGGGUGGGGUGAUGGCGUACCAAGGCGGUGACGGGUAGCCGGCCUGAGAGGUGGACCGGCAACAUGGGGACGGAGAUGCGGCCCAGACUCCUAAGGGAGGCAGCAUAGUGGGGUAUGGGACAAUGGGCGAAAGCCUGAUGCAGCGACGCCGCGGGGGGGAUGAAGGCUUUCGGGUUGUAAAAGUCGUGAGCAAUCGAACGGUUAGGUGGAGAAGAAGCGCCGGCUAACUACGUGCCAGCAGCCGCGGUAAUUC